rnacentral:lncRNA from 1 species
UUUUUAGAUCCGAUAGGGUCGAGAUCCGAAUCCAAAUUCCAUGUAUACUUUUGGAUCCAAAUUCAGAUCUGAAUAUUCUGGAUCGAAUCAGGUCUAGAUCUAGAUCCGAAUCUCAUAUAUACUUUUUAAAUCCAAAUCCAGAUCUCAGUGGAUCUGGACCCGAUCCGACUCAUUGUCAGCCGUAUGGCUAAACAAGUUACGGUUCUCUACUUCCUUCAGCUGGCGCUUGAGCCUUUACAACCAACCAUUUCUGCCUUCCUUUUCGUACUUCACCUCUCUCCCUCUUCUUCCUACUCUACUAUAUCUGUCUCUCUUUUUUUCCUUUCUUCGAAACUAUCUUUUCUUAUUGGGAAAAGUAGUUUAUAUAAGGUUACAACUGUAAAAUGUAAAAUUAAAGAUGCACCUCUAAAAUCUAUCGAAAAAGUUGGUUUUAUGUUAAAAACUCUCUAAUUGAUCAUCUCGACAUCAAGAUGCAUUAAUAUGAAAAAAAAAAGGUUUUUGAGGUUCAGAAAUAGUGCAUCUUGCGACACAUUAUC